rnacentral:rRNA from 1 species
UACGUAGGUGACGAGCGUUAUCCGGAAUUAUUGGGCGUAAAGCGCACGCAAGCGGUCGGCCAAGUCUGGCGUGAAAUCUCCUGGCUUAGCUGGGAGCGGUCGUUGGAAACUGGUCGGCUUGAGGAAAUGAGAGGGGUGCGGAAUUCUCGGUGUAGUGGUGGAAUGCGUAGAUAUCGAGAGGAACAUCAGUGGCGAAAGCGGCACCCUGGCAUUUAUCUGACGCCCAUGUGCGAAAGCGUGGGGAGCGAACGGG